GUGAGUAACACGUGGGUGAUCUGCCCUGCACUUCGGGAUAAGCUUGGGAAACUGGGUCUAAUACCGGAUAGGAGCCAUCUUUAGUGUGGUGGUUGGAAAGUUUUUCGGUGUAGGAUGAGCUCGCGGCCUAUCAGCUUGUUGGUGGGGUAAUGGCCUACCAAGGCGGCGACGGGUAGCCGGCCUGAGAGGGUGUACGGCCACAUUGGGACUGAGAUACGGCCCAG
rnacentral:rRNA from 1 species